rnacentral:rRNA from 1 species
AGCGAACGCUGGCGGCAGGCCUAAUACAUGCAAGUCGAGCGCACCUUCGGGUGAGCGGCGGACGGGUGAGUAACGCGUGGGAACGUGCCCUUUGGUACGGGAUAACUGAGGGAAACUUCAGCUAAUACCGUAUGUGCCCUACGGGGGAAAGAUUUAUCGCCAUUGGAGCGGCCCGCGUUGGAUUAGGUAGUUGGUGGGGUAAAGGCCCACCAAGCCUACGAUCCAUAGCUGGUCUGAGAGGAUGAUCAGCCACACUGGGACUGAGACACGGCCCAGACUCCUAAGGGAGGCAGCAGUAGGGAAUCUUGCGCAAUGGGCGAAAGCUUGACGCAGCCAUGCCGCGUGAAUGAUGAAGGUCUUAGGAUUGUAAAAUUCUUUCCCCGGGGAAGAUAAUGACGGUACCCGGAGAAGAAGCCCCGGCUAACUUCGUGCCAGCCGCCGCCGUAACAC